rnacentral:lncRNA from 1 species
GCCUGCUUCCUCAUGGGCAAACGCGGAAAGACACACCCUUAAGCAGGUCUCCCUGUUCCUGCAAGGCUGGAAGCCAUGCAGGCACUCAGAUGGUUUCCUCUCUCUUCCCCAGGCCUGGCGUAAAGGCGUGCAGGGAGGCCUAGCUCUGUCUCCCAGACUUAGAGAUUUCCCCAAGAAAUGUGUGGUUCAAACCAGGGACGCCAAGGAGUUCAAACCAGGAGACGCCAGGGCCACAAGUCUUGGGCAUGUGGCCUCCCUAGAGGCAUGUUUUCCUUCUUCGAUCUAGACUCCAUAUUUUCCACAGGAACAAACCAGGAAAUUCCUGCAGGAAAUAGUUUUUAGAAGGAAAACAGAUUUUUCACUUUUUUACAGCCCCACCCAGCUUUCAUCAAGGACAUGCAUGUAAUACAGGCUCUCAGGGGUCUCAGCUGUCAGUGGCCACAGGGUGCCCUUGAGUCUGGUUUCACUGCAGGGAUGACUGUGGAACUGCAGUGCUGGAUACUUUGAAAACCUGACAAGGUGGUGGCUGGGGGUAGGUGAGUCCACACAGUGUCACUUGGAAACAAAGAAUCUUAGCAUUGUAGGUGUUAAAAGAAAAACUUUAGCCAAAUUAAAUUUAAAAGACUUUGAGCAAAAAAUGAUUCGUGAAUCAGGCGGCCUCCUGAGCCAGAAUAGGCUCAGAGACUCCAGUGCACCCAUGUGGUGGAAGAUGAUUUAUGGACACAAAAUGAUAAGCAGUGUAUGGAAGGUGGAAGUAAGCCACAGAAACAGCCGGAUUGGUUCCAGCUCGACGUUUGCCUUAUUUGAACAUGGUUUGAACACUGGGC